GUUUCUGUGAGGAGAAUUUGACAGUGGCUUCUUCUGUCACCUUACCUGACUCAGCCAUCGCUAUGAUUCUUCAUUACAUUUCCUUCUAUUUCAGGGAUUACUUGUGUCAUCUCCAUCCAGGUUCCUGGGAGUUUGGCCAGCUUGUUGUUGCAUCACAGUGGAUGUUCUACUGCCUGUCCCUGAGUUCAAUUGCUGCUUCUGAUCUGUCCCUCAUGCUGAGUUUCCCAGCCUACUUAAGUUUGAAGUUUCUACUCUGCCUCCUCCUCAUAUAAGUACCGAGUCAACAACACAGUAAUUACUUUAAUGACCUAGGCAAUAACCAAGUAAGAACCAUUUAUUUAGAUGAUGAUAGAAACUUCCUAAGUAAACAGAUUAAUAAGUGCUUAGGAAAAAAGGAAGAUCUAUGGGGAUAGAUACAGUGAGUGCAUUUAUUAUACAUACACUAUUAUAUUUGCCACAAAUUUCAAUAUAAAAUUUAAAAUUGCUUUGCAGAAUUACAAACGAUGUCAAACUCUCUGAAUCUAACGUAUCAGGACACAUAAUUUUAUAAUAAUAUUGUAAACCAAGAAUACAUUUCUUUGUAAAACAAGUGAUUAAUUAUGAAUGCUAAUUUUGUUUGAAUAAACACGAAUGCACUAAGCCA